UAUUAUACUAAAUUAGAAUAAUAUGACUUGAAUAUUAUUAGAUAUAGUCUUUAAGCUUGAAGAAUUUGGCGGUAGCUCAGUCUAGUUAGAGGAACCUGUUUUUGAAUUGAUAAACCACAGAGGAUCUUACUUGUUCUUAUUAUUGAUUUAGUAGUUUGUAUACCGUCAUUAUCAGAUAAUUUUGAAAAAUUAUUAUUAAUUUUUUAUUUAAUAUAAAUAAAUUAGAUCAAGGUGCAGCUAAUGAAUAAGUUAAAAUGGGUUACAAUAAUAUUAAGUUAUACGGAUAUUUUUAUGAAGUUUAAAAAUGGAAGGUGGAUUUAAUUGUAAUGAAAAUUUAAUAUGAUUAAAAGAUAUAAGUUCUGAGAUAU
rnacentral:rRNA from 1 species